rnacentral:rRNA from 1 species
UACAGAGGUCUCAAGCGUUGUUCGGAUUCAUUGGGCGUAAAGGGUGCGUAGGCGGCGCGGUAAGUCGGGUGUGAAAUUCGGAGCUUAACUCCGAAACUGCAUUCGAUACUGCGGUGCUUGAGGACUGGAGAGGAGACUGGAAUUCAUGGUGUAGCAGUGAAAUGCGUAGAGAUCAUGAGGAAGACCAGUGGCGAAGGCGGGUCUCUGGACAGUUCCUGACACUGAGACACGAAGGCCAGGGGAGCAAACGGG